rnacentral:lncRNA from 1 species
UGAGAAUCACAGCUUAGAACUGAUAAAAUUCAGAAUUUGUUGGCCUGAUUUUUUUCAGAUAUUUGUAGCACAUGUGGCCCCUGUGUGACUGCACUUGUAGCAUGGGCAUUUGCCACUUAAGAUCAGGGUGUGGAUGUGUUGGGCUAGGAGCCUGGGCACACAGGAACCCAGCCUGAAAACAUUCCCAUGCUAGCUCAAAGCAUAAAACUAGAGAAGCGAGGAAACACAACUAUUUCCAAUCCUGUUCUCCAUUUUGUUUUUUUGGCCUUUGAAGGAGUCUGUGAAACUGUGAGAACAAGGGAGUCAGGACCUUUGGGUGACCAAAAAUUCUCCAUGCUGCCAUAAGCCCUUUGAGAGUCUUUGGGUAACUGGAUCAAGGAAACACAGAGUUCUUGCACGGCAAGAAAGGAUGACGAGAAGGAUAUGAAAAUCUAGAAGAGGAGUGUGUGGUGGAAAAGAGAUGUUGGAGAGAUCACCGGCUCUGAUGGUUCAGCCUUCACAAGCCAAGGUGGGAGGACCAGAGGAGCAGUCCAGCAAUAACCUAAAGCAGAUGGUGUGGUGAGAAGUGUGGUGAGAGGAAUGAUGAGAAUGACAUGUCUGACUCUUGAUGUGCUACUGUGACCUGCUUUUUUUUUCCACAGCAUUUUUCUUUUUAGUAGCUGGUACUCACUGGCCCACCUGCACCUACUGCUUCUUACUUUGCAGGGAUGCUAUCCAUGGAGUGGGAAGGAGACAGAAUUCAUGCAGUGGGGAUGGAGAUUGGCUGAAGGGCAAGUCUGUUAGGAAUCAGGCCUUGCUGCUCC